rnacentral:rRNA from 1 species
AAAGUCAGGCCUGCCCACUGAUUUAUUGAAGGGCCGCAGUAUAUUGACUGUGCUAAGGUAGCAUAAUCAUUUGUUUUUUAAUUGAAAACUGGAAUGAAAGGUUAAAUGAAAUAUAAACUGUCUUUUUGUAAAAAAAUUAAAAAUUUAAAUUUUAAAUUAAAAUGUUUAAAUUUAUAUAAAAGACGAGAAGACCCUAUAGAUCUUUAUAAUUAUUUUUAAAUAAUAAUUUAAUUAUAUAAAUUUUAUUUUUAAUUAAAUUAUUUAAUUGGGGUGAUUUAAAAAUUUAUUUAACUUUUUAAUAAUUUAACCAAUUUAAUUGAUAAAUUGAUCCAUUAUUUAUGAUUAAUAGAUUAAGUUACCUUAGGGAUAACAGCGUAAUUUUUUUGGGGAGUUCAUAUCUAUAAAAAAGAUUGCGACCUCGAUGUUGAAUUAAAGUUAGUUUUAGGAGUAGAAAUUUAAAAUUUUAGUCUGUUCGACUAUAUAACUUUACAUGAUCUGAGGA